UACGUAGGGGGCGAGCGUUGUCCGGAAUGAUUGGGCGUAAAGGGCGCGUAGGCGGCCUAUCAAGUCAGUAGUGGAAGUCCAUCUUUCAAGGAUGGAAGUGCUACAGAAACUGAAGGGCUUGAGUGCAGGAGAGGUUAUCGGAAUUCCCGGUGUAGCGGUGAAAUGCGUAGAGAUCGGGAGGAACACCAGUGGCGAAGGCGACUCUCUGGACUGACCCUGACGCUGAGGCGCGAAAGCGUGGGUAGCGAACAGGAUUAGAUACCCGGGUA
rnacentral:rRNA from 1 species